AUACUUACCUGGCAGGGGAGAUACCAUGAUCAUGAAGAUGGUUUUCCUAGGGAGACUUAUCCAUUGCACUCCAGAUGUGCUGACCCCUGUGAGUUCCCCAAAUGUGGGAAAGUGGACUGCAUACUUUGUGGUAGUGGGGGACUUGUUCUCACUCUCCCCUG